rnacentral:rRNA from 1 species
CUUGAACGCUGGCGGCAGGCCUAACACAUGCAAGUCGAGCGGGGUUUUCGGACCUAGCGGCGGACGGGCGAGUAAUGCGUAGGAAGCUACCCGAUAGGGGGGGAUACCAGUUGGAAACGACUGUUAAUACCGCAUAAUGUCUACGGACCAAAGUGUGGGACCUUCGGGCCACAUGCUAUCGGAAGAGCCUACGUGGGAUUAGCUAGUUGGUGGGGUAAUGGCUCACCAAGGCGACGAGCCCUAGCUGGUUUGAGAGGAUUAUCAGCCACACUGGAACUGAGACACGGGCCAGACUCCUACGGGAGGCAGCAGUGGGGAAUAUUGGACAAUGGGCGCAAGCCUGAUCCAGCCAUGCCGCGUGUGUGAAGAAGGCCUUCGGGUUGUAAAGCACUUUCAGCGAGGAGGAAGGGAGUUGUGUUAAUAGCACAGCUUUUUGACGUUACUCGCAGAAGAAGCACCGGCUAACUCUGUGCCAGCCGCCGCCGUAAGAC